GCAACAACUGGUUCCCAUACGAUCACAGAAUUUAAGCAACGUCGAGUUUGGUCAGUACUUAGAUGGGUAACCGCUUCGGAAUAGCAGGUGCUGUA